rnacentral:rRNA from 1 species
AACGAACGCUGGCGGCAGGCCUAACACAUGCAAGUCGAACGCCCCGCAAGGGGAGUGGCAGACGGGUGAGUAACGCGUGGGAACGUGCCCUUCGCUUCGGAAUAGCCCCGGGAAACUGGGAGUAAUACCGAAUACGCCGUAUUGGGAAAGAUUUAUCGGCGAAGGAUCGGCCCGCGUUAGAUUAGCUAGUUGGCGGUGUAAUGGACCACCAAGGCUACGAUCUAUAGCUGGUCUGAGAGGAUGAUCAGCCACACUGGGACUGAGACACGGCCCAGACUCCUACGGGAGGCAGCAGUGGGGAAUCUUGGACAAUGGGCGCAGGCCUGAUCCAGCCAUGCCGCGUGAGUGAAGAAGGCCUUAGGGUUGUAAAACUCUUUCGCCGGAGAAGAUAAUGACGGUAUCCGGAGAAGAAGCCCCGGCUAACUUCGUGCCAGCCGCCGCAGUAACAC